AGAGUUUGAUCCUGGCUCAGGACGAACGUUGGCGGCGUGCUUAACACAUGCAAGUCGAGCGGUUCUCGUAGUUUACUUCGAGGAUAGCGGCGGACGGGGGGNNNAGGACGAACGUUGGCGGCGUGCUUAACACAUGCAAGUCGAGCGGUUCUCGUAGUUUACUUCGAGGAUAGCGGCGGACGGGUGAGUAACGCGUGGAUAAACUGCCUGUAAGACAGGGAUACGGUGCUAAUACCCGAUAACCUCUUUGGAUCGCAUGGUUUGAAGAGAAAAGGUGGCCUCUGUAUAUGCUACCACUUACAGAUGAAUCCGCGUCCCAUUAGCCAGUUGGUGGGGUAAAGGCCUACCAAAGCGACGAUGGGUAGCCGGCCUGAGAGGGUGACCGGCCACACUGGAACUGAGAUACGGUCCAGACUCCUACGGGAGGCAGCAGUGGGGAAUCUUCCGCAAUGGGCGAAAGCCUGACGGAGCAACGCCGCGUGAGCGAAGAAGGUCUUCGGGUCGUAAAGCUCUGUCCUUAGUGAAGAAACAAAUGACGGUACCCAUAAAGGAAGCACCGGCUAACUCCGUGCCAGCAGCCGCGGUAAUACGGAGGGUGCAAGCGUUGUUCGGAAUUAUUGGGCGUAAAGCGCGUGUAGGCGGUUUGUUAAGUCUGGUGUGAAAGCCCUGUAGCUUAACUAUUGUGAGCCUUUGGAACUGGUCAGCUUGAGUGCAGGAGAGGAAAGCGGAAUUCCUAGUGUAGCGGUGAAAUGCGUAGAUAUUAGGAGGAACACCCGUGGCGAAGGCGGCUUUCUGGACUGUAACUGACGCUGAGGCACGAAAGCGUGGGGAGCAAACAGGAUUAGAUACCCUGGUAGUCCACGCUGUAAACGAUGAAUACUAGGUGUAGGGGGUAUUGACCCCUGCAGUGCCGCAGCUAACGCAUUAAGUAUUCCGCCUGGGGAGUACGGUCGCAAGACUGAAACUCAAAGGAAUUGACGGGGGCCCGCACAAGCGGUGGAGUAUGUGGUUUAAUUCGACGCAACGCGAAGAACCUUACCAAGGCUUGACAUCCUGUGACAGCUAUAGAAAUAUAGACUUCUUAGUUUACUAAGACACAGAGACAGGUGGUGUGGUUGUCGUCAGCUCGUGUCGUGAGAUGUUGGGUUAAGUCCCGCAACGAGCGCAACCCUUAUCCUUAGUUGCCAUCAUUAAGUUGGGAACUCUAGCAGAACUGCCGUUGACAAAACGGAGGAAGGUGGGGAUGACGUCAAAUCAUCAUGCCCCUUAUGUCUUGGGCUACACACGUACUACAAUGGCCUGAACAGAGGGAAGCAAAACUGCGAAGUUAAGCGAAUCCCUUAAAACAGGUCCCAGUUCGGAUUGUAGGCUGCAACUCGCCUACAUGAAGUUGGAAUCGCUAGUAAUCGCAGGUCAGCAUACUGCGGUGAAUACGUUCCCGGGCCUUGUACACACCGCCCGUCACACCACGAAAGUCGGCAACACCCGAAGCCGGUGACUCAACCCGAAAGGGAGAGAGCCGUCGAAGGUGGGGUUGGUAAUUGGGGUGAAGUCGUAACAAGGUAACCA
rnacentral:rRNA from 1 species